rnacentral:rRNA from 1 species
UACGGGGGGGGUAAGCGUUGUUCGGAAUUACUGGGCGUAAGGGGCUCGUAGGCGGCCAACUAAGUCAUACGUGAAAUCCCUCAGCUUAACUGGGGAACUGCGUGUGAUACUGGAUGGCUUGGAUUUGGGAGAGGGAUGCGGAAUUCCAGGUGUAGCGGUGAAAUGCGUAGAUAUCUGGAGGAACACCGGUGGCGAAGGCGGCAUCCUGGACCGGCAUUGACGCUGAGGCGCGAAAGCCAGGGGAGCAAACGGG